GUCUACGCACAAACACAGUGGACACGGAUGGCAGCAACAGUCCCAGGCCAGGCCUCAGAAUCACCACGGUGGCGGUGUUGGAGGCCGGUGCUCUGAGCCGGACUACCUGGGUGUUACAAUCUGACUGUGAAACAUUCCCCCACAGGCCCGUGUUUGAGCAGCUCCCCAGCAGUUAGACUCACAAGCUCUUCUUGACGCCACCAGCCUGAUGCCUGUUUCUGACCCACCAUCAUGCAAGGCUCUGCUCGACACACAUUUCCUCUAGAAUUCACCUCUUGGAUGGGAUCCUGAAGGAACUUGACUGGGACAUCUAGCUCAUGCUCUUAUUCUCCCCUCUGCUGUCUUCAAAGCUCCACCAACUGCUCCUUUCUAAAGUAACCCACCACACAGCCUUCAGCUUUGGAGAACAGUGAGCUGGAAUCUUCAUGGUUCACGAUGUCCGGCCUGUUCUUCAACAUCACAGGCUUCUCUCCAGCACCACCUGCCCAGCCCAGGGCACUCAUCAAGACAGUGAAGUGGCCUUUGUUGCAUUGGGUUCCACAAGGACAUCCUGAGUCAAACACAUAGCAUCCCAUUUCUUGGCCACGAUAGAGGACGGAGGACAGAGUCAGCCUUUGACACAAACAGGACUCAUCCAGAAAGGAGCUGGAGGGGAAUGUUGGCAACACGCAAUUAGCCAGCUGGUCAUCUCUAUUUCAAUCCACCCUCGUCUCUAACUGCCAAGUUUGAAAGCAUUAAAUGCUUUAGCGUGCCCG